CAGUAGCCGCGGGAAUACGAAGGGGGCUAGCGUUACUCGGAAUUACUGGGCGUAAAGGGCGCGUAGGCGGCACGAUUAGUCAGGCGUGAAAUUCCUGGGCUCAACCUGGGGACUGCGCUAGAUACGGUCGAGCUAGAGGAUGGAAGAGGGUUGUGGAAUUCCCAGUGUAGAGGUGAAAUUCGUAGAUAUUGGGAAGAACACCGGUGGCGAAGGCGGCAACCUGGUCCAUUAUUGACGCUGAGGCGCGACAGUGUGGGGAGCGAACAGGAUUAGAUACCCCCGUAGUCCCUGUCUCUUAUAC
rnacentral:rRNA from 1 species